CGUGUGUGUGUGUGUUAGGGACGGCCGGCUGAAGGCUGGUGAUGAGCUCUUGAUGAUCAACGGUCAGUCUCUGGUUGGUCUGUCUCAUUCGGAGGCCGUGGCCGUCCUCCGCUCCUCCACUGGACUGGUACAACUGGUGGUCGCUAGCAGGGAGGAGUCCCAGGUGGAUUUCCACCGUUACCCAUCUACCAGCCUGCCAGACCUGGUCAGUACUUCCUCCUCCUCUCCUUCUCCUAGCAACAACAUGGAACCUCGUCACGGCCUGACCUCCAGCAGCCUCUCUCUACCCGCUACGCUGACUGAUCUGGAGAAGCUCGAGGACCGAGGACAGAUGGAGGGACCUAAAGGAACCUGCCGUUCUCCUACAUCCAUGAAGUUCAGGACCAGAUCACAAGGUAGAGAGGGAGAGGGAGAGGGAGGGAGGGAGACAAAGAGAGAGAGACAAAGAGAGAGAGACAAAGAGAGAGAGAGAGAGAGAGAGAGAGAGAGAGAGA